UACGGAGGGUGCAAGCGUUAAUCGGAAUUACUGGGCGUAAAGCGCACGCAGGCGGUUGGAUAAGUUAGAUGUGAAAACCCCGGGCUCAACCUGGGAAUUGCAUUUAAAACUGUCCAGCUAGAGACUUGUAGAGGGGGGUAGAAUUCCAGGUGUAGGGGUGAAAUGCGUAGAGAUCUGGAGGAAUACCGGUGGCGAAGGCGGCCCCCUGGACAAAGACUGACGCUCAGGUGCGAAAGCGUGGGGAGCAAACAGG
rnacentral:rRNA from 1 species